CCUACGGGAGGCAGCAGUGAGGAAUAUUGGUCAAUGGGCGGAAGCCUGAACCAGCCAAGUAGCGUGAAGGAUGACGGCCCUACGGGUUGUAAACUGCUUUUAUAGAGGAAUAAAGCGACGUACGUGUCGGACUUUGCAUGUACCGUAUGAAUAAGGACCGGCUAAUUCCGUGCCAGCAGCCGCGGUAAUACGGAGGGUCCGAGCGUUAUCCGGAUUUAGUGGGUUUAAAGGGAGCGUAGGCGGGUUGUUAAGUCUGUUGUGAAAGGUUUGGGCUCAACCGGGGCAUUGCAGCGGAAACUGGCAGUCUUGAGUGCAGUGGAGGUAGGCGGAAUUCGUCGUGUAGCGGUGAAAUGCUUAGAUAUAACGAAGAACACCGAUUGCGAAGGCAGCUUUCUGAACUGGAACUGACGUUGAUGCUCGAAAGCGUGGGGAUCAAACAGGAUUAGAUACCCUAGUAGUC
rnacentral:rRNA from 1 species